UGAUAUGCUUGUCUUAAAGAUUAAGCCAUGCAUGUAUCAGUACAAGCCAAACUAAGGUGAAACCGCGAAUGGCUCAUUAAAUCAGUUAUUAUUUACUGGCCGAGACAGUGAUACAUGGAUAACUGUGGUAAUUCUAGAGCUAAUACAUGCAACCGAGCCCCAGUCCCGGCUCUCGGGCCGGGCGGGGCGCUUUUAUUGGCUGAAAACCGAUGAUCGCCCUCGUGGCGGUCGUUAUUCGAUGAAUCACAAUAACAUUGUGUGGAUCGUAUGGUCUUGUACCGACGACGCGCCUUUCAAAUAUCUGCCUUAUCAGCUCUCGACGGUUUGCUAGUGGCUGACCGUGGCUCUGACGGGUAACGGGGAAUCUGGGUUCGGUUCCGGAGAGGGAGCCUGAGAGAUGGCUACCACAUCUAAGGAAGGCAGCAGGCGCGUAACUUACCCACUCCCAGUUCAGGGAGGUAGUGACAAUAAAUACCUUACAGAGGUCUCGUUAACCGAGAUCUCUCAAACGGAAUGAGUACAACGUGAAUCCUUUAACGAGGAUCGACUGGAGGGCAAGCCUGGUGCCAGCAGCCGCGGUAAUUCCAGCUCCAGUAGCGUAUAUUAAAGUGUUUGCGGUUAUUAGAGUGCUCAAAGCAGGCUCUGAAUGCCUGUAUACAUAUUCAUGGAAUUGGAGAAUACGUCCCUGGCUCGAUUUGGUUGGUUUUGAGAGUCGAAGGGAAAUGAUUAAUAGGGACUGACGGAGGCAUUCGUAUUGCGACGCGAGGGGUGAAAUCCUGUGACCGUCGCACGACGAACUACUGCGAAAGCAUUUGCCGAGAAUGUUUUCAUUAGUCAAGAACGAAAGUUAGAGGUUCGAAGGCGAUCAGAUACCGCCCUAGUUCUAACCGUAAACGAUGUCGACCAGCAAUCCGCAACGGUCACUACACGGACUGUGCGGGCAGCUUCCCCGGGGAAACCAGAGUGUAUGGACUCCGGGGGAAGUAUGGUUGCAAAGCUGAAACUUAAAGGAAUUGACGGAAGGGCACCACCAGGAGUGGAGCUUGCGGCUUAAUUUGACUCAACACGGGACAACUCACCAGGCCCGGACACCGUAAGGAUUGACAGACUGAUAGCUCUCUCUUGAUUCAGUGGGUGGUGGUGCAUGGCCGUUCUUAGUUGGUGGAGUGAUUUGUCUGGUUUAUUCCGAUAACGAACGAGACUCUGGCCUAUUAAACUUGACGCCGUCAGUCUCUUGUGACUGCGGUGUGCUUCUUAGAGGGAUCAUCGGCGUCCCAGCCGAAGGAAAGGGAGCAAUAACAGGUCUGUGAUGCCCUUAGAUGUUCUGGGCUGCACGCGUGUUACACUGAAGUGGUCAGCGCGCCGUUCAACGUCCCACUCCGUGAGGAGCGGGCAAACGUUUGAACCCUUUUCGUGAUGGGAAUUGGGGGUUGCAAUUGUCCCCCAUGAACGAGGAAUUCCAAGUAAGCGCAGGUCACUAGCCUGCGUUGAUUAAGUCCCUGCCCUUUGUACACACCGCCCGUCGCUACUACCGAUGGAUGAUUUGGUGAGAUCGCCUAGACUGGCAGCUGGCUUCGGCCGUGCUGCCGGGAAGACGCUCAAACUUGGUCGUCUAGAGGAAGUAAAAGUCGUAACAAGGUUUCC
rnacentral:rRNA from 1 species